rnacentral:rRNA from 1 species
UGGGGGAUAUUGCACAAUGGGCGCAAGCCUGAUGCAGCGACGCCGCGUGGGGGAUGAAGGCCUUCGGGUUGUAAACUUCUUUUGCUCUGAACAAGGCGCACUUUGGGGUGUGUUGAGUGUAGGGGUUGAUUAGCGCCGGCUAACUACGUGCCAGCAGCCGCGGUAAUACGUAGGGCGCGAGCGUUGUCCGGAAUUAUUGGGCGUAAAGGGCUUGUAGGUGGCUGGUUGCGUCUGUCGUGAAAGCUCAUGGCUUAACUGUUGGUUUGCGGUGGGUACGGGCUGGCUUGAGUGCAGUAGGGGAGGGUGGAAUUCCUGGUGUAGCGGUGGAAUGCGCAGAUAUCAGGAGGAAUACCGGUGGCGAAGGCGGGUCUCUGGGCUGUUACUGACACUGAGGAGCGAAAGCAUGGGGAGCGAACAGG